rnacentral:rRNA from 1 species
GCGUCAGUAGGUUGGUCGUGCCACCGGUACGUACUGGUCUCACUGAUUCCUCCUUCCUGAAGAACCGUAAUGCCAUUAAUUUGGUGUUGCGGGGAAACAGGACUGUUACUUUGAAAAAAUUAGAGUGUUUAAAGCAAGCUAACGCUUGAAUACAUUAGCAUGGAAUAAUGAAAUAGGACGAUCGAUCCUAUUUUGUCGGUUUCUAGGAUUGACGUA